GAGUUUGAUCAUGGCUCAGGACGAACGCUGGCGGCGUGCUUAACACAUGCAAGUCGAACGAGGUCCACGGUGUAGCAAUACACCUGAAGACCUAGUGGCGAACGGGUAAAAAACACGUGAGGAACUUGUCCCGGUCUCUGGGAUAACAGUUGGAAACGACUGCUAAUACCGGAUGACGUCGGAGCAUCACAUGGUGCGCUGACGAAAGGGUUACUGGAUCGGGAGAGCCUCGCGGCCUAUCAGCUUGUUGGUGGGGUGGGGGCCCGCCAACCAAUGCAUGGGUGGGUAGUGGUGAGAGAGGAUGAUCAGCCACACUGGGACUGAGACACGGCCCAGACUCCUACGGGAGGCAGCAGUGGGGAAUCUUGCGCAAUGGGCGAAAGCCUGACGCAGCAACGCCGCGUGCGGGAUGAAGGCUCUCGGGUUGUAAACCGCUUUCAGCAGGAACGAAAAUGACGGUACUUGCAGAAGAAGGUGCGGCCAACUAUGUGCCAGCAGCCGCGGAGAAGGGCG
rnacentral:rRNA from 1 species